rnacentral:lncRNA from 1 species
AAAUCCUAGGGCAGGCUGCUUUUGGGAAUCCCUCAGCUGCAGUGCAAGGGACGGAUACACAGAGAUGAGAUUCCAUGUUCCCUAUGCAGCUUACCUGAGCCCUGGAGGACCAACGUGUCAUGAAUCCCAGGUUUCUGUUGUCCUUUAUUGCCUAUCUGGGUGUAGGCUGUAAACUUUUACAAUGGGGAGAGAAGGGAUCACACCCUCUCAGCCCCCAUAGUUCUAGAAACAAAGGUAGGACGACUGAGACACCUGACUUGCUUCCAAGCCUACAAUUGAGGACCUAGGACAACUGACAAAAAGCUGACAAAGAAAGAUAAGAAUUUUUACCAAGUUUAGCUCUCCUGGAUCUCUACCUGGAGUACCUGAUGGAGAAUGGAAGGGAACUCAUCAAAUAAUUGGAAAAGAUCAACUACCAGAGAAGAGAAGAGACUAGUAGUCACCACAGCACUCAGGUGUGCCCUGUAAAGAGAGCUUUAAAAAGAAGAAUACUGUUAUUGAGAGCUUCAAGAUCUAUGAGAAAACAGUGUUAAGUUUUAUUGACUGGCUUUCUUUUCAGUUACGAGACAUAAAGUCUAAGGCUACUACUUAUUUGGCUGAAAAUAUAUCUCCUGAGAUUCAUAAAACUUGAGGACACUAGAACCUGAAACUUAAAUUGAAAGCACUCUGACUUUCAUAUGCCCAUCUUGGAACAUUGUUUUUUUUGUUUAGUUUUCAUUAACCUCUUUAUCUUUUCCUCAAGUCUAAUAAAGAUGAUCUCUUUUUCUGUGGACUCACUUCUGAAGAAUAUCAUUUUCACAUAUAAAAGUUUCCAACUGUGCAAUAUUAUUGUCAUAAGAAUCAAGAUGGAAC